rnacentral:rRNA from 1 species
GACGAACGCUGGCGGCGUGCUUAACACAUGCAAGUCGAACGGAAAGGCCCCUUUGGGGGUACUCGAGUGGCGAACGGGUGAGUAACACGUGAGUAACCUGCCCUUGACUUCGGGAUAACUUCAGGAAACUGGGGCUAAUACCGGAUAGGAAUCCUUGCUGCAUGGUGGGGGUUGGAAAGCUUCGGCGGUUUUGGAUGGACUCGCGGCUUAUCAGCUUGUUGGUGGGGUAGUGGCUUACCAAGGCUUUGACGGGUAGCCGGCCUGAGAGGGCGACCGGCCACAUUGGGACUGAGAUACGGCCCAGACUCCUACGGGAGGCAGCAGUGGGGAAUAUUGCACAAUGGGCGGAAGCCUGAUGCAGCAACGCCGCGUGCGGGAUGACGGCCUUCGGGUUGUAAACCACUUUCAGCAGGGGCGAAGCUUGUGGUGACGGUACCUGCAGAAGAAGCACCGGCUAACUACGUG